rnacentral:rRNA from 1 species
UGGGGAAUAUUGGACAAUGGGCGAAAGCCUGAUCCAGCCAUGCCGCGUGUGUGAAGAAGGCCUUCGGGUUGUAAAGUACUUUCAGCGGGGAGGAAGGUGUUGUGGUUAAUAACCUCAGCAAUUGACGUUACCCGCAGAAGAAGCACCGGCUAACUCCGUGCCAGCAGCCGCGGUAAUACGGAGGGUGCAAGCGUUAAUCGGAAUUACUGGGCGUAAAGCGCACGCAGGCGGUCUGUCAAGUCGGAUGUGAAAUCCCCGGGCUCAACCUGGGAACUGCAUCCGAAACUGGCAGGCUUGAGUCUUGUAGAGGGGGGUAGAAUUCCAGGUGUAGCGGUGAAAUGCGUAGAGAUCUGGAGGAAUACCGGUGGCGAAGGCGGCCCCCUGGACAAAGACUGACGCUCAGGUGCGAAAGCGUGGGGAGCAAACA